UGUAGAGGAUCGACUGAUAGUGAAGCUCAGAAAGCAUUUGGAGCAGCCCGGUAGAUGAAUAGAGGGGCUCAUUAUCGGAGAAGUCCGGAUGGCAUGAUAGGAGUUCGUCCAUUGGAGGAAUCUGGAGGACACUGUGGAAGGUCGACUGCUGGGGGAGUCUGGAUGGUACUGUGAAAGCUCGGACGGUCGGGAAGGUUCAGAAAGACGCCGCAC
rnacentral:lncRNA from 1 species